AGAAUCAACGCUGGCGGCGUGCCUAACACAUGCAAGUCGAACGAGAAAGUGGAGCAAUCCAUGAGUAAAGUGGCGCACGGGUGAGUAACACGUGACUAACCUACCUUUUAGUGGGGGAUAACCUAGGGAAACCUGGGCUAAUACCGCAUAACACUUACGAGUCAAAGCAGCAAUGCGCUGGAAGAGGGGGUCGCGGCCGAUUAGCUAGUUGGCGGGGUAAUGGCCCACCAAGGCAGUGAUCGGUA
rnacentral:rRNA from 1 species